rnacentral:rRNA from 1 species
CGACCGGCGCACGGGUGAGUAACACGUAUGCAACCAGCCCUCCGCAGGGGGAUAACCCGGAGAAAUCCGGACUAAUACCGCGUGGUACACCAGUGGGGCAUCCCACUGGUGUUAAAAGGAAGUGAUUCCGGCGGAGGAUGGGCAUGCGGCGCAUCAGCUUGUCGGCGGGGUAACGGCCCACCAAGGCGACGAUGCGUAGGGGUUCUGAGAGGAAGGUCCCCCACACUGGUACUGAGACACGGACCAGACUCCUACGGGAGGCAGCAG